CCUUGCGCGUCUCGAUGAGCUUCUUGUAAAACGCUGCUGACAUCUUAGGCGUGCGCGGUCGCUCCGGAUCCGCAAAGUCGACUUGAUACAAGCCGUACUUGUGCCUUUGAAAUGAAAAGAGGUCAGACCGUGUUUUGCGUCGACAAGAUCGGGAAUGAAGGGAAUUACUACUCACUCGUAACCAAAGAACCAUUCAUAGUUGUCCAUGAGACUCCAUGCCGUGUAUACUGCUACGUUGCACUUAUCUAUGUUUAUAGCUUUAAGCAGUUCGAGCAGGUGAAGCUGUGUUUCAGCGACCAAAAAGUAGAGGAAGAGGUUGACAUGUUAUGAAAGUGUCUAACCAAUGCCUUGACUGAAAACGAUUUAGUAAUGGUUUCAUACCCUGUAAGAGCGCACUCGAUUCGUAUCCAUUAGGCCCCCGUGGUCGGGGUAGCCCUGCUCAGUGACCAUGACUCUGGGAUUGCCGUACUGAUUUUUAAUCCAGUUUAAUUGCUUUCGGAAGCCUUCCGGAACCACCUAGGAUUCAAAGUAGACCGAUGAAUUUUAAGGAUUCCAAAUUAUACUCACUUUUGAUUGGCGCAUGUAAUUGUACCCUGAGCCAGUCCGCAAUCGUUUCCUCCCAGGACGGAUCGAAUGACGUCACGACUCCUGCAUCACCGGCUCUGGUUCCCGCUUUUGGUUUUUCUUCGUCCCCUGUCGGCUCGUGGGCAAGGCUCGACGUGUAGUAGUUGAGGCCGAAAAAGUCCGCCGAUCCUAAGAAAACAUUUUGGGUUACAAGUAUUUAGAAAUGGGCCGCUAAAAAGGGGAAGGGAUUAGUUGUGUUGCGCGUUUAAUUUGGCAGCCAGUUUGUAUUCCUUUCGCCCUUGUGCUCAGUGCCUGACAAUCGGUUCGUCAAUUACGUUUGCAGGCAACAAAUGUCGGCUAGGAGACGGAUAAAUUAAGACUUUAUGAUUUGAUUUAUGACAUGAGUAUGCUAUGUGAACAAAUAACGUAAUAAAUUACUUUUAUUUUUUUUAAACCCGCCUGUACCUUGUAUAAGUUUGAUUUCAGCUUCGGUGAACUCUGGGAGGCGAGACCUUUUCAAGCCUUGCUCGAGACUUGCUUUCUUUACUCUCUCCUUCAUGACUGCGGGGUAGUCCCCGUCUUUACUGAAGAUGGGAUGCGUGUACCAGCCGAGCUGCAACGAAUCACCAACCCUUUUUAGAGACAGCAGGACGGAAACAUCACUGGGGAGUACUCUGGAAAUAUGACGGUUGCUGUGACGACACAACCGAGAGGUAUAGUGAAAUAGACUCAGCCUUGUUUGUGCUUACAAAGCUCCAGAACUUACCGUGAAUUGCUGAAUGCGCUCGGCAGCUUCUACAUCACUUGGGUUCUUUGGAUCCUUGGGAUAGAAAUAGUUUGAGUUCGCUGCGAAGCCAACCUCACCUGCAAAGAUGCGUAAGUGUCAUUACGAACUUGACACUAAUGAAAACCCUCCCCAUCGAAUUAUCUUUUUUCGUUUUAUCGGCAAUGUCAACACCCACUGAGAGUAAUUUCUACGCAUAACCUUGGCUCUGUGGAUCCAAGGGUUCCCGAUCAAUGGCAGGCGCUAUAAGGGGUCUCCAUAGGGAGCCGCCUGGGAGGAGGUAGGCAAUUUGCGCCACACCACCCUUGUAUGUAGGCAAUCCACGGAGCCCCCCGGCCCUUGAUAGCCUUGUACCGCGCGUGAUCUACAGCAAUUUAAGUUUCCGGAAAACUUUCUUUGGGUGCUUUGGGCGCACGCACGCACUACAGAAUUCGACAGAAUUAUGAAGCUCCGCAGGGUGUACCAUUAUGCGGCCGUACCGAGUUGUGUCUCCUUAAAGUCUCUCUCGUACAGGCGGUAGGCGUACGCGUGCGACUUGAGGACGUUGUGCGCGCACAAGUAGUCGGCUCGACCGCUCCAAUGGAUCGCUGGUGCUUUGAUUGCAUCACCGUAGCCCU